rnacentral:rRNA from 1 species
AUUGAACGCUGGCGGCAGGCCUAACACAUGCAAGUCGAACGGUAACAGGAAACAGCUUGCUGUUUCGCGGACGAGGGGCGGACGGGUGAGAAAUGUGUGGGAAACUGCCGGAUGGAGGGGGAUAACUACUGGAAACGGUAGCUAAUACCGCAGAACGCCGCAAGACCAAAGAGGGGGAGCUGCGGGCCGCUGGCCGGCGGAGGUGCCCAGAUGGGAUGAGCGAGUAGGUGGGGUAACGGCUCACCUAGGCUACGGGGCCUAGCUGGUCUGAGAGGAUGAGGAGCCACCCUGGAACUGAGACCCGGUCCAGACUCCUACGGGAGCCAGCCGUGGGGCAUAUUGCACAAUGGGCGCAAGCCUGAUGCAGCCAUGCCGCGUGUAUGAGGAAGGCCUUCGGGUUGUAAAGUACUUUCAGCGGGGAUGAAGGCAGUAACGUUAAUACCUUUGCUCAUUGACGUUACCCGCAGAAGAAGCCCCGGCUAACUCCGGG